CGAACGGGUGAGUAAUACAUCGGAACGUGCCCAGUAGUGGGGGAUAGCCCGGCGAAAGCCGGAUUAAUACCGCAUACGACCUACGGGUGAAAGCGGGGGAUCGCAAGACCUCGCGCUAUCGGAGCGGCCGAUGUCAGAUUAGCUAGUUGGUGGGGUAAAAGCCUACCAAGGCGACGAUCUGUAGCUGGUCUGAGAGGACGACCAGCCACACUGGGACUGAGACACGGCCCAG
rnacentral:rRNA from 1 species